rnacentral:rRNA from 1 species
UACGUAGGGCGCGAGCGUUGUCCGGAAUUAUUGGGCGUAAAGGGCGCGCAGGCGGCUCUGAAAGUCAGAUGUGAAAGCCCCGGGCUUAACCUGGGAAUUGCAUUUGAUACUCUGGAGCUUGAGUACGGGAGAGGAGAGUGGAAUUCCCAGUGUAGAGGUGAAAUUCGUAGAUAUUGGGAAGAACACCGGUGGCGAAGGCGGCUCUCUGGACCGUAACUGACGCUGAGGCGCGAAAGCGUGGGGAGCAAACAGG